CUACGUGCCAGCAGCCGCGGUAAUACGGAGGGUGCGAGCGUUAAUCGGAAUAACUGGGCGUAAAGGGCACGCAGGCGGUUAUUUAAGUGAGGUGUGAAAGCCCCGGGCUUAACCUGGGAAUUGCAUUUCAGACUGGGUAACUAGAGUACUUUAGGGAGGGGUAGAAUUCCACGUGUAGCGGUGAAAUGCGUAGAGAUGUGGAGGAAUACCGAAGGCGAAGGCAGCCCCUUGGGAAUGUACUGACGCUCAUGUGCGAAAGCGUGGGGAGCAAACAGGAUUAGAUACCCUGGUAGUCCACGCUGUAAACGCUGUCGAUUUGGGGAUUGGGCUUAGAGCUUGGUGCCCGUAGCUAACGUGAUAAAUCGACCGCCUGGGGAGUACGGCCGCAAGGUUAAAACUCAAAUGAAUUGACGGGGGCCCGCACAAGCGGUGGAGCAUGUGGUUUAAUUCGAUGCAACGCGAAGAACCUUACCUACUCUUGACAUCCAUGGAAUCUUGUAGAGAUACGAGAGUGC
rnacentral:rRNA from 1 species